rnacentral:rRNA from 2 species
GGUUAAGCGACUAAGCGUACACGGUGGAUGCCCUGGCAGUCAGAGGCGAUGAAGGACGUGCUAAUCUGCGAUAAGCGUCGGUAAGGUGAUAUGAACCGUUAUAACCGGCGAUUUCCGAAUGGGGAAACCCAGUGUGUUUCGACACACUAUCAUUAACUGAAUCCAUAGGUUAAUGAGGCGAACCGGGGGAACUGAAACAUCUAAGUACCCCGAGGAAAAGAAAUCAACCGAGAUUCCCCCAGUAGCGGCGAGCGAACGGGGAGCAGCCCAGAGCCUGAAUCAGUGUGUGUGUUAGUGGAAGCGUCUGGAAAGGCGCGCGAUACAGGGUGACAGCCCCGUACACAAAAAUGCACAUACUGUGAGCUCGAUGAGUAGGGCGGGACACGUGGUAUCCUGUCUGAAUAUGGGGGGACCAUCCUCCAAGGCUAAAUACUCCUGACUGACCGAUAGUGAACCAGUACCGUGAGGGAAAGGCGAAAAGAACCCCGGCGAGGGGAGUGAAAAAGAACCUGAAACCGUGUACGUACAAGCAGUGGGAGCACGCUUCGGCGUGUGACUGCGUACCUUUUGUAUAAUGGGUCAGCGACUUAUAUUCUGUAGCAAGGUUAACCGAAUAGGGGAGCCGAAGGGAAACCGAGUCUUAACUGGGCGUUAAGUUGCAGGGUAUAGACCCGAAACCCGGUGAUCUAGCCAUGGGCAGGUUGAAGGUUGGGUAACACUAACUGGAGGACCGAACCGACUAAUGUUGAAAAAUUAGCGGAUGACUUGUGGCUGGGGGUGAAAGGCCAAUCAAACCGGGAGAUAGCUGGUUCUCCCCGAAAGCUAUUUAGGUAGCGCCUCGUGAAUUCAUCUCCGGGGGUAGAGCACUGUUUCGGCAAGGGGGUCAUCCCGACUUACCAACCCGAUGCAAACUGCGAAUACCGGAGAAUGUUAUCACGGGAGACACACGGCGGGUGCUAACGUCCGUCGUGAAGAGGGAAACAACCCAGACCGCCAGCUAAGGUCCCAAAGUCAUGGUUAAGUGGGAAACGAUGUGGGAAGGCCCAGACAGCCAGGAUGUUGGCUUAGAAGCAGCCAUCAUUUAAAGAAAGCGUAAUAGCUCACUGGUCGAGUCGGCCUGCGCGGAAGAUGUAACGGGGCUAAACCAUGCACCGAAGCUGCGGCAGCGACACUAUGUGUUGUUGGGUAGGGGAGCGUUCUGUAAGCCUGUGAAGGUGUGCUGUGAGGCAUGCUGGAGGUAUCAGAAGUGCGAAUGCUGACAUAAGUAACGAUAAAGCGGGUGAAAAGCCCGCUCGCCGGAAGACCAAGGGUUCCUGUCCAACGUUAAUCGGGGCAGGGUGAGUCGACCCCUAAGGCGAGGCCGAAAGGCGUAGUCGAUGGGAAACAGGUUAAUAUUCCUGUACUUGGUGUUACUGCGAAGGGGGGACGGAGAAGGCUAUGUUGGCCGGGCGACGGUUGUCCCGGUUUAAGCGUGUAGGCUGGUUUUCCAGGCAAAUCCGGAAAAUCAAGGCUGAGGCGUGAUGACGAGGCACUACGGUGCUGAAGCAACAAAUGCCCUGCUUCCAGGAAAAGCCUCUAAGCAUCAGGUAACAUUAAAUCGUACCCCAAACCGACACAGGUGGUCAGGUAGAGAAUACCAAGGCGCUUGAGAGAACUCGGGUGAAGGAACUAGGCAAAAUGGUGCCGUAACUUCGGGAGAAGGCACGCUGAUAUGUAGGUGAAGUCCCUCGCGGAUGGAGCUGAAAUCAGUCGAAGAUACCAGCUGGCUGCAACUGUUUAUUAAAAACACAGCACUGUGCAAACACGAAAGUGGACGUAUACGGUGUGACGCCUGCCCGGUGCCGGAAGGUUAAUUGAUGGGGUUAGCGGUAACGCGAAGCUCUUGAUCGAAGCCCCGGUAAACGGCGGCCGUAACUAUAACGGUCCUAAGGUAGCGAAAUUCCUUGUCGGGUAAGUUCCGACCUGCACGAAUGGCGUAAUGAUGGCCAGGCUGUCUCCACCCGAGACUCAGUGAAAUUGAACUCGCUGUGAAGAUGCAGUGUACCCGCGGCAAGACGGAAAGACCCCGUGAACCUUUACUAUAGCUUGACACUGAACAUUGAGCCUUGAUGUGUAGGAUAGGUGGGAGGCUUUGAAGUGUGGACGCCAGUCUGCAUGGAGCCGACCUUGAAAUACCACCCUUUAAUGUUUGAUGUUCUAACGUUGACCCGUAAUCCGGGUUGCGGACAGUGUCUGGUGGGUAGUUUGACUGGGGCGGUCUCCUCCUAAAGAGUAACGGAGGAGCACGAAGGUUGGCUAAUCCUGGUCGGACAUCAGGAGGUUAGUGCAAUGGCAUAAGCCAGCUUGACUGCGAGCGUGACGGCGCGAGCAGGUGCGAAAGCAGGUCAUAGUGAUCCGGUGGUUCUGAAUGGAAGGGCCAUCGCUCAACGGAUAAAAGGUACUCCGGGGAUAACAGGCUGAUACCGCCCAAGAGUUCAUAUCGACGGCGGUGUUUGGCACCUCGAUGUCGGCUCAUCACAUCCUGGGGCUGAAGUAGGUCCCAAGGGGUAUGGCUGUUCGCCAUUUAAAGUGGUACGCGAGCUGGGUUUAGAACGUCGUGAGACAGUUCGGUCCCUAUCUGCCGUGGGCGCUGGAGAACUGAGGGGGGCUGCUCCUAGUACGAGAGGACCGGAGUGGACGCAUCACUGGUGUUCGGGUUGUCAUGCCAAUGGCACUGCCCGGUAGCUAAAUGCGGAAGAGAUAAGUGCUGAAAGCAUCUAAGCACGAAACUUGCCCCGAGAUGAGUUCUCCCUGACUCCUUGAGAGUCCUGAAGGAACGUUGAAGACGACGACGUUGAUAGGCCGGGUGUGUAAGCGCAGCGAUGCGUUGAGCUAACCGGUACUAAUGAACCGUGAGGCUUAACCUUACAACGCCGAAGGUGUUUUG